GCAGAACCGUUACCGCGAGGCGAAGGACAGUUGGGGUAGUUUUGUGGGCCACGGUGGAGUGAUGUAAUACCGUUCCUCGUCGCAUGGGUCUGUUACCACCUUGCAGCCUGUACCUCUUCAUCCUUUAUCUGUCUAGACACUUGAAUAGCUACCCACAAAAUAAAAUCAACGGGCACAGAAAAUAGAGGAACCAAGCAAGCAGCAAGCUACCCUGGGUAUUUGCUUUCUUUUAGACCCGGCCUAGCUUGCCCGGCUCAUUAAAGAUAUGCUUAGUCAACAAAACAGCGGCUGACAUUUAGCUGCAGAAAACAACCACUGAACAGCCUGUGGAAUUUCUUCGAGAGGGAACGCUGAUGAACAGUUGACUCAUCACAACAGGGUCCGUUUCCAGAUGGAUCCAUGCGGCCCUUAGGCUGGCGUGCUGCUUGGGCCGUCCCAGCACCAACAUCUGGAUGCUCAGAGUCGCAUUCUAGGGUCAGAUCUGAACUGCACAGAAAGCAUACUUUGCAAUUUCACUUACUGAAGGGUCGCCGUCAUCUUUUUCUUCACGGACUGAAUUAUUUCAAGGCUUUUCAUAUCUGUUAGAAUGGGUUGAAUUUCAUUUUCAUGAAAGAUAAAUGAAACUUUAAACUGGGUGACUGCAGAGUCUAUCAGAACGUGGCCCUGCUUAUCAAAACGUUCUACGCUAGUGUUUGUGCCCAGGCGUCAGGAAGGCCAGGAAAUGGGAACAGCUCUGCUGGAUACCCAGGAAAGCCAAGGACUUAUUAAUCUUCUCUCUCAAGACUCACUGCCAGGGUCUUAGUUUUGGCCCAUCGCCCCUCACUUGUGUGACAGAAGCCACCCUCUAACUGGUUUAUCAGCUUCCACACACUUCUGGGUGAUAGAAAGUCGUAAAGUUAUCUCCUGUGAUCAUCAAACAGCUAACGUUGGCAAGCCUCGAAUGGUGUUCCUCCAAUGGUGAUGGGUUGAUACACGGAUGAACCAUCGGUACCGGAUGUUGAAGAUUUGGAAAUGCCUCCAGCACCGGACCUGACAGCACACCCUAGUGUGUCUCUUCUCAUGACUGCAUUCUUUCCAGGCCCUGCAUCCCACUGCCACUGCCCAGCAGAUGGGGUGGCAGUGAAUCAGCUUCACAUUGCUUCAUGUGGUGGUUUCACUGAAACCUUGGCCUGGAUGCUUUGGAACCCGUAGUGAGGCAGCACUCGUGAGGCAGAGUCAACCUGCUCUCUUCAUGGUUCCCAGAAAACAAAAAGAGAGCCAGGAAGGGGUGCAAAUCCCAAUAUCCUUCCAGGGCACACCCUCAAUGACCUCCCCAUCCCUAGAUGAACCCAGGUAACCACCAGUCUGUCCUCAAGUUUUAUAAUUUGUCAUUUGAAAGUGACAUUCUUUCUUUUCUAAAUGAACCAGUCUUUAAAGUAUAAUCUCCAUUGUUCGUUAUAUUUAAGAAGAGGAUAAACUUGCAUUUUUCUGUCACUAGGACUCAGCUCCUUGUAGUGGAUAGCUCCUUACAAGGUCUUUGGCACCCACAGAUCUAAAUUAGGGCUAGGGGUUCUGUCUGCUGUCUUCAUGAGGUCAUUCCUGGCCCCUUUACUGUAAGUGGCAGACAUGCUGUAGUGCACAGAGAGGCAUCAAAGGCAUCUGAUUCUAGAAUAUUCCUCAUGGAAUAUUGUGAUGAGCUUUCAGCAGCCUUAUGCUUGGGCAAGCAUCAGCUGCAGCUCACAUAGCUGCUGGGCUGCCUGUGGCCACAACCCUUUACCUGACCAUUGUUCCUUCUUUAUUUUUAAAGUAAGGACCUGAGAUACCUGUCA